AUACGGAGGAUCCGAGCGUUAUCCGGAUUUAUUGGGUUUAAAGGGUGCGUAGGCGGCCUUUUAAGUCAGCGGUGAAAGUCUGUGGCUCAACCAUAGAAUUGCCGUUGAAACUGGGGGGCUUGAGUAUGUUUGAGGCAGGCGGAAUGCGUGGUGUAGCGGGGAAAUGCAUAAAUAUCACGCAGAACACCGAUUGCGAAGGCGGCCGGCCAAGCCAUGACUGACGCUGAUGCACGAAAGCGUGGGGAUCAAACAGGAUUAGAUACCCUGGUAGUCCACGCAGUAAACGAUGAUCACUAGCUGUUUGCGAUACACUGUAAGCGGCACAGCGAAAGCGUUAAGUGAUCCACCUGGGGAGUACGCCGGCAACGGUGAAACUCAAAUGAAUUGACGGGG
rnacentral:rRNA from 1 species